UGCCAGACUCCUACGGGAGGCAGCAGUGAGGAAUAUUGGUCAAUGGGCGCGAGCCUGAACCAGCCAAGUAGCGUGAAGGAUGACUGCCCUACGGGUUGUAAACUUCUUUUAUAAAGGAAUAAAGUGAGGCACGUGUGCCUUUUUGUAUGUACUUUAUGAAUAAGGAUCGGCUAACUCCGUGCCAGCAGCCGCGGUAAUACGGAGGAUCCGAGCGUUAUCCGGAUUUAUUGGGUUUAAAGGGAGCGUAGAUGGGUUGUUAAGUCAGUUGUGAAAGUUUGCGGCUCAACCGUAAAAUUGCAGUUGAAACUGGCAGUCUUGAGUACAGUAGAGGUGGGCGGAAUUCGUGGUGUAGCGGUGAAAUGCUUAGAUAUCACACAGAACACCGAUUGCGAAGGCAUCUCACGAAUCCGCGAUUGACGCUGAUGCACGAAAGCGUGGGUAUCAAACAGGAUUAGAUACCCGAGUAAUC
rnacentral:rRNA from 1 species